CUGCGUUUUUACUUCCCUUAUUCAUAUACUAUCAAUUCAUAACAGGCUUGAUAUUUUGAAACAGAGUAGCAAAAAUGUUAUCAAUUGAUAGAAAUAUGUUAUAUAGAUACAAUGGGUAAGCGUUGAUUCGUGAAAGAGGAACAUAAGUCCGGAGGGCGAAUUGUUUGUUUUUCAUGUAUCAACUUUUAUUCAUUUAACAAGUUAUCACACAAGGAAGUUAAUAGUUAUACAGUUAAUAAUUCUUUCCAAAAAUUGUGCUGUGG
rnacentral:lncRNA from 1 species